CAGUCGCCACGGUAAUACGUAGGGUGCAAGCGUUAAUCGGAAUUACUGGGCGUAAAGCGUGCGCAGGCGGUUCUAUAAGACAGAUGUGAAAUCCCCGGGCUCAACCUGGGAACUGCAUUUGUGACUGUAGAGCUGGAGUGCGGCAGAGGGGGAUGGAAUUCCGCGUGUAGCAGUGAAAUGCGUAGAUAUGCGGAGGAACACCGAUGGCGAAGGCAAUCCCCUGGGCCUGCACUGACGCUCAUGCACGAAAGCGUGGGGAGCAAACAGGAUUAGAUACCCCCGUAGUCCCUGUCUCUUAUAC
rnacentral:rRNA from 1 species